GCUUUUUUUGACGGCUUCGCUUUUAGUUAUUUAUUCGCAUAAUGUUCUAUAUAGUUUACAGAUAAUGACUAUUUUCUAUAUAAAAGUCUUGACUAAAACACGUGCCAGCAGUCGCGGUAACACGGGACAGACUAGUGUUAUUCAUCUUUAUUAGGUUUAAAGGGUACCUAGACGGCAAAUUUAACUCCCUAAAAAGGAACAGUGUAUUUUGCUAGAGUUUUAUAUAAGAGGGUUUUAGUACUAGCAGAGUAGAGAUGAAAUUUGUUGAUACUGUAGGGCACUGGUAAAGGCGAAGGCAGAUCUUUAUGUAAAAACUGACGUUGAGGGACGAAGGCUCGGGUAACAAACAGGAUUAGGUACCCUAAUAGUCCAUGCAGAGACUGAUGAGUGUCAUAGGUCAGAGUAUUUUGGUCUAUAAAUGAAAGUGAAAGCACUCCACCUUAAGAGUAAUGCGGCUACGUAGGAACUAAAAUCAUUAGACCGUUUCUGAUACCAGUAGUGAAGUAUGUUGUUCAAUUCGAUGGUCCACGAAAAACCUUACCACAAUUUGAAUAUUAUAUUACCUAGGAAAGUUAUUUAUUAAAUUUGAAAGUAAUAUAUUACAGGUGUUGCAUGGCUGUCUUCAGUUGAUGUCGUGAGAUGAAGGUUAGAUCCUAAAUCAACGUAUAACCCAUAUUUU
rnacentral:rRNA from 1 species